rnacentral:rRNA from 1 species
GAUGAACGCUGGCGGCGUGCCUAAUACAUGCAAGUCGAGCGAACAGAUGAGGAUCUUGCUCCUCUGACGUUAGCGGCGGACGGGUGAGUAACACGUGGAUAACCUACCUAUAAGACUGGGAUAACUUCGGGAAACCGGAGCUAAUACCGGAUAAUAUAUUGAACCGCAUGGUUCAAUAGUGAAAGACGGUUUUGCUGUCACUUAUAGAUGGAUCCGCGCGGCAUUAGCUAGUUGGUAAGGUAACGGCUUACCAAGGCAACGAUGCGUAGCCGACCUGAGAGGGUGAUAGGCCACACUGGAACUGAGACACGGUCCAGAGUCCUACGGGAGGCAGCAGUAGGGAAUCUUACGCAAUGGGCGAAAGCCUGACGGAGCAACGCCGCGUGAGUGAUGAAGGUCUUCGGAUCGUAAAACUCUGUUAUUAGGGAAGAACAAAUGUGUAAGUAACUAUGCACGUCUUGACGGUACCUAAUCAGAAAGCCACGGCUAACUACGUG